UACGAAGGGGGGCUAGCGUUGCUCGGAAUCACUGGGCGUAAAGCGCACGUAGGCGGCUUUUUAAGUCAGGGGGUGAAAUCCUGGAGCUCAACUCCAGAACUGCCUUUGAUACUGAGGAUCUUGAGUUCGGGAGAGGUGAGUGGAACUGCGAGUGUAGAGGUGAAAUUCGUAGAUAUUCGCAAGAACACCAGUGGCGAAGGCGGCUCACUGGCCCGAUACUGACGCUGAGGCACGAAAGCGUGGGGAGCAAACAGG
rnacentral:rRNA from 1 species